rnacentral:rRNA from 1 species
UACGAAGGGGGGCUAGCGUUGCUCGGAAUUACUGGGCGUAAAGGGCGCGUAGGCGGCACUGUUAGUCAGGCGUGAAAGUCCUGGGCUCAACCUGGGAACUGCGCUUGAUACGGCAGAGCUAGAGGAUGGAAGAGGGUCGCGGAAUUCCCAGUGUAGAGGUGAAAAUUCGUAGAUAUUGGGGAAGAACACCGGUGGCGAAGGCGGCGACCUGGUCCAUUACUGACGCUGAGGCGCGACAGCGUGGGGAGCAAACAGG